GGUUUUUUAGCUAUUUCUCCUAAAAAUCAGCAAAGGAUGGGCUGUGGCACGUGGCCAGAGGCUUCACGAGUGCGUCAGCUGCUGUGAAAGUUCCUGAGUUUGCACAUUUGUCGUUGGGUUGUGGGUUUUCUUUUGUUGUCGUUGGUUGGUUUUGUGGGGCUUUUUUUUUUUUUUUUUUCCUUUCUUUGUAUUUUUUUUUUUUUCUCUGGAAAUGAGAAUGGUGAAACGUGAACAUUUCACUUCCCCCGGAAGAGUUGACGUGUUUUCCCAGCCUCAUAAAUUUGGAGAGAUUUUGGGAAAGAAGGAUCAGAGAUGGCACAGAACGUUGGUGCUGAUGGCACCUGUGAGAACUGGGAGCUCACCAAGGACAUGCUGCUGGAGGACCAAACCCCGAGGAAAACACCCAAAAGAGCAGUGCUGUCACUCCUGCCCUCGUCCCCACAAAGAGCCGUUGUGCUGCUGGCCCUGCUGCUGGCCCUCAGCUUUGUGUUCCUCUUGGCUCUUACCAUUGCGAACAUCCGAAGAGUGUCUGCAGUGCGGGAAGAACUGGAGCGAGCGCAGCUGCAGGACAAGCAGAGCCACACCACAGCCUGGCACAACCUCUCAGAGGUCCAGCACACCCUGGAUCUGCAGCUCUCAGCCGAGCUCCGGACGAUUCACAGCCGCCUUCUGAACGUGUCACGAGGAUUGGAGGACGUGCAGCAGAAGAUGGCCCAGUGCAGGGCAGAGUGUGGGAAGGAGCUGCGGGAUCGCAUCCAAGCCCUGGAGGGAAGGGACGAGUUGCAGCCGGCUCUGAAGCAGCUGGAGGAGCUGAGGCAGGAGCAGAGCCACAUAUCCACGCUGCUCAGCACAGCGCUGGAGGAGACACAGAACCUCACGGGUGAGGGCAGCAGCUGCACCCACUCCUAAAAUAUCCCCCCCCUGCCUUGGGAGCAGCCCUGUGGAGAAGGACCUGGGGGUUUUGAUAGAUGAAAAGCUUAAGACGAGGCAGCAGUGUGCUCCUGCAGUUCGGAAAGCAAACGGGAUCCUGGGCUCCAGCAGCAGAGGGGUGGCCAGCAGGGACAGGGAGGUGAUCGCCGCCCUCUGCUCUGCUCUUGUGAGCCCACAUCUGCAGGGCUGGAGCCCCCAGGACAAAAAAAAGACAGGGGGCUGUUGGAGGGGGUCCAGAGGAGAGCCACGAAGGUGAGCAGGGGGCUGCAGCACCUCUGCUAUGGGGACAGGCUGAGGGAGCUGGGCUGGUUCAGCAUGGAGAAGAGAAGCUGCGGGGUGAAUCAUUGCAGCCUGCAGCACCUCAAGGGAGCCUGCAGACAGGAGGGAAUCAACAAUUUGAAAGGAUUGAUAACAGCAGGAUGAGGGGAAAUGGUUUGGAGUUGAUUGAGGUUGGAUGUCAGGGAGAAAUUCUUUGCUGUGAGAGCGGUGAGGUGCUGGAACAGCUGCACAAAGAGGCUGUGGAGCCCCGUCCAUCCCUGGAGGUGUUCAGGGCCAGGUUGGAUGGGGCCCUGGGCAGCCUGGGCUGCUGUGAAACGUGGAGGUUGGUGGCCCUGCAUGCAGCAGGGGGUUGGAGCUUCGUCAUCCUUGAGCUCCCUUCCAACCCAACCAUUCUGUGAUUCUAUCUGAGCAGGGAUAGGGGCUGCUUCCACUGCUGAUCAUUGGGUUGUGGCACUGUGCUGUCAUUUAUUCACCCCACGUUUUUCUUCUUCCCCACAGGAGAGUUUUUUGGUCUACUGGUAAAGAGGUCUGAAAGGAAAACCCACGGGCUGGAUGCUGCUCACAGAUGCUGCUCCCUAUCAGUGGAAAUGCGUGGAACAACUCAGCCUGCAGCCAGCCAAGGAAAACUGGAAACGAAGCAUCUGAGCCUCAACAGGGCUGGCUGCGAACCCAGCCCACACCUAUGGUGGAAAAAGGGGCU
ensembl:lncRNA